rnacentral:lncRNA from 1 species
CUUAAAAAAAGGCUAGAGGUUUUAAAAAUGAAGCAGAAAAUAUCACCUUUUAUCAGUUGCAUCGCUUUCAGAACUUCAAUUUUUGGCGUGAGUGUGACUGUGAUAAGCCUGUUCAGCAAAGCACACAUAAAAAAAUUUGAUAUCAUGUAAUAAUAUGUCUCGCAAUCUAACUACAAAUCUAGCUUCUAGAAUAGCUUUGACAGGAAGCACAUUUCCGUGCUGCAAAUUUCUUUUAUGACCAGAAAAGCCUUGAAGUUUACCUUUUCUGUCAUAAUGUCCCCAACUUUCGUUGCAUUGAUGAUCUUCCCUGUGAUAUGGUUUCCAGGGAUCUUCUGGUUCAAGAGUAUUAAUGAGAGAGAGGAGGCAAAACAGAAAGAGAACA